rnacentral:rRNA from 1 species
AUUGAACGCUGGCGGCAGGCCUAACACAUGCAAGUCGAGCGAGCGGCGGACGGGUGAGUAAUGUAUGGGGACUGCCUGAUAGAGGGGGAUAACUACUGGAAACGGUAGCUAAUACCGCAUACUAUCGGAUAACCCAUAUGGGAUUAGCUAGUAGGUGGGGUAAAGGCUCACCAAGGCCACGAUCCCUAGCCGGUCUGAGAGGGUGAUCGGCCACACUGGAACUGAGAAACGGCCCAGACUCCUACGGAGGCAGCAGUGGGGAAUCUUGGACAAUGGGCGAAAGCCUGACCCAGCAACGCCGCGUGUGUGAAGAAGGUCUUCGGAUCGUAAAGCACUGUUGUUGGAGAGGCGUUAUCUGCCGAAGAAGCAACGGCUAACUCCGUGCCAGCAGCCGCGGUAAUAC